rnacentral:lncRNA from 10 species
UUUGGCUUGCCCAAGGUCACCACCCUCUGAACUGAGGCGUCCCCAACCCAUGCCGGGAGCUGGUGGAGGAAGUGGGGAAGGGUUUCCCGCUUCUCCACUGGGGGUGGAGGUGGGAGAAAGCAUUUUCAGGGUGUUUUGACAUUUAACAAACAGUAUGCAAAUCACAUGCAAAUCGCAUGCAAAUCACCACCCAUUUCUUAAGCCUCGACAGCGCUGGCAUGUUCUGAAAUAAUAAUGUUGGACCUGUCCCUUGAUGAUGACCUGGGUCGGGAGGUGCACGGCCUUUUCCUUCCUCCGUCUUCCCUUCCCUUCCCUUCCCUUCCCAUCUGUUCUCCCUUCCUUCGCCCCCUUCCUUUCCUCUCCCUCCCUAUCUUCCAUUUUUCUCUUCUUCCUUCACAUCAUUUGUCCAAGACCUCCCUGGCCUGAGAUAAACAUAAGUUGCAAAAGUGGCUUCCUGCAGCCCAUUUUCCAGGUUGGGAAACUGAGGCAUGGGCCUAAGGUCCCACAGCCACACCGAGGAAAGCAGCCCCCACUGAAUGUCACCAUGCACCAAAGUGCAUGGUCCUCGUGACACAAAGAGGGGAGAUGACAGUGGCUGGAGUUGUCAGAGCUGCUUUGAGGAAGCUCCAGGCCUGAUAGGCUUGACAGGGCCAAGGGGAACUAUUGUGGAAUGUCUUGGCCUUGAAUGACAGGCUGCUGAUUUUGGAUCUGGAGAAAGCUCACACUGACUCUUCCUGCUCCCCCAGUCUGUUUUUCUCCUGCUACUCCAUCCAUGUAUCCCUGAGUUUGGGCCACAGUCCCUCCACUUGGUUUGCAUGUCCCACCUUCUUUGUUUGGCAAGCUCCUAUUCAUCCUUCAAAGCCCUAGCUUCAAUACCUGCUACUUCAUGCAGCCAUUGCUUAUCCUUCAAGGAGAGCCUACUUCCCUCAAGGACCCUGCUGCUUCCAGUCUCACCUUCUGACUCACUCGGGAUCCACUGAACUGGGAGGUCUGUGUCUCCUCCCAGCAGAGUCAUCACUACCUUUGGGGCCGCAGGAUCACCCAGCUUGGAACUAGAUACAGAAAUGCUGUUUUGAGAGUGUACUGAAUAAAAGAUUACAUGUUUGAAAACAAGA